UACGUAGGUGGCAAGCGUUGUUCGGAAUUACUGGGCGUAAAGGGCGCGUAGGCGGCUUCGAUAGUUGGGCGUGAAAUGCCUGGGCUCAACCCAGGAAUUGCGCUCAAUACUGUGAGGCUCGAGUGUGGGAGAGGAUAGUGGAAUUCCCAGUGUAGAGGUGAAAUUCGUAGAUAUUGGGAAGAACACCAGCGGCGAAGGCGGCUAUCUGGACCACAACUGACGCUGAGGCGCGAAAGCGUGGGGAGCAAACAGG
rnacentral:rRNA from 1 species